AGAGUUUGAUCCUAGCUCAGGAUGAACGCUGGCGGCGUGGAUAAGGCAUGCAAGUCAAGGGGGCCCGCAAGGGCAACCGGCAGACGAGGUAGUAAUAAGUAGGUACGAACCCAAAAGUCUUGAAUAGCUCGGCGAAAGCCGAGGUAAUACAAGAUGGUCUCUAAGGAGUAAAGAUUUAUCGCUUUUGGAUCGGCCUGCUCGGUAUCAGCUAGUUGGUAAGGUAAUGGCUUACCAAGGCAAUGACGCCUAGGGGACCUGAGAGGGUGACCCCCACCGAUGGGACUGAGACACGGCCCAUACACCUACGGGUGGCUGCAGUCGAGAAUCUUCCGCAAUGGACGAAAGUCUGACGGANNNNNNNNNNNNNNNNNNNNNNACCCUAAGAAUAAGAGGUUGCUAAACUCGUGCCAGCAGCAGCGGUAAUACGAGUGCCUCGAGCGUUAUCCGGAAUUAUUGGGCGUAAAGGGUGCGUAGGUGGUCAUAUUAGUCUCCUGUUAAAUUCUUCGGCUCAACCGGGGGCAUGCGGGGGAAACGGUAUGACUAGAGGAUGCGAGGGGUUUCUGGAACUCUAGGUGUAGCGGUGAAAUGCGUUGAUAUCUAGGGGAACACCAAAAGCGAAGGCAAGAAACUGGAGCAUUCCUGACACUGAGGCACGAAAGCGUGGGUAGCGAACGGGAUUAGAUACCCCGGUAGUCCACGCCCUAAACGAUGAUCACUAGCUAUUCGGAGUAUCGACCCUCUGAGUGGCGUAGCUAACGCGUUAAGUGAUCCGCCUGGGUAGUACGGCCGCAAGGCUAAAACUCAAAGGAAUAGACGGGGACUUGCACAAGCGGAGGAUCAUGUGGUUCAAUUCGACGGUAAACGAAGAACCUUACCAGGGUUAGAAAUCUAGUUGAAGACGAGCAGAAACGUUCGUCGCCGCAAGGCAAUUAGACAGGUGCUGCAUGGUCGUCGUCAGUUCGUGGUUUGAAUUGUUCCCUUCAGUGGGGUAACGAACGCAACCCUCGUUGCCUGUUACAAGUGUCAGGCGAGACUGCCCAGCUCUAAGCGCACAAAUCGAAAGAUUUGCGAAUUUGGAGCUGGGAGGAAGGUGAGGAUGACGCCAGAUCAGCAUGGCCCUUUGAUACCCUGGGCUACACACGUGAUACAAUGGCGCGUACAACGCGAUGCGACGGCGAGAGCCUGAGCCAAUCGUUAGAAAGCGCGCCCUAGUUCGGAUAGGAGUCUGCAACUCGACUCCUUGAAGUUGGAUUCGCUAGUAAUCUCGGGUCAGCUAUACCGAGGUGAAUACGUUCUCAAGUCUUGUACUCACCGCCCGUCAACUCAAGGGAGUUGGGAGUACCCGAAGUCUGCCCUCGUGGCGGCCUAAGGUAAGCUCAAUGACAGGGAGUAAGUCGUAACAAGGCACGGGUAGCGGAAGCUGCUCGUGGAU
rnacentral:rRNA from 1 species